CCCUUAGAUGUUCUGGGCCGCACACGCGCUACACUGAAGGAGGCAGCGUGUACUCCUGGAUCGAAAGAUUUGGGUACCCGCGAAUCUCCUUCGUGCUAGGGAUUGAGGUUUGCAAUUAUCCUUCAUGAACGAGGAAUUCCCAGUAAGUGCAAGUCAUAAGCUUGCGCUGACUACGUCCCUGCCCUUUGUACACACCGCCCGUCGCUACUACCGAUUGAAUGAUUUAGUGAGGACUUCGGACUGGGACCGAUGCGGCUUUCGGGCUGCGUCGGUAUUCUGGAAAGAUGUCCAAACUGUAUCAUUUAGAGGAAGUAAAAGUCGUANCA
rnacentral:rRNA from 1 species